GACGAACGCUGGCGGCGUGCUUAACACAUGCAAGUCGAACGGAAAGGCCUCUUUCGGGGGGUACUCGAGUGGCGAACGGGUGAGUAACACGUGAGUAACCUGCCCUUGUCUUUGGGAUAACUUCAGUAAACAGGGGCUAAUACCGGCUAGGAGCUCCUGCUGCAUGGUGGGGGUUGGAAAGUUUCGGCGGUUGGGGGUGGACUCGCGGGUUAUCAGCUUGUUGGUGGGGUAUUGGCUUACCAAGGCUUUGGCGGGUAGCCGGCCUGAGAGGGUGACCGGCCACAUUGGGACUGAGAUACGGCCCAGACUCCUACGGGAGGCAGCAGUGGGGAAUAUUGCACAAUGGGUGGAAGCCUGAUGCAGCAGCGCCGUGUGCGGGAUGACGGCCUUCGGGUUGUAAACCGCUUUCGCUCAUGACGAAGCUUUGUGUGACGGUAGUGGGUAAAGAAGCACCGGCUAACUACGUG
rnacentral:rRNA from 1 species